AGAAGGAGGUGGGAGAUCAGUCAAUCAGAGGCUUAUGCGGUUCACAUUUUCCUCUCUGUAUGUGUGUUUUGCAGGAGACAAGAGAGAGGAGAGGAAAGGAGAGAGAGGAGAUGGAUGGAGUGCUAUAGAGGAGAAGAAAGGAGGAGAAAAGCGCCUAAAGAUGACCCUGGGCUGAGUGAAGUAGCAGCGUGGCGCUUAUCCAUAAAACUGACACCCCUGGGAGAAAAGGGAGUCGGACCUGAAACCUGACAGUGUCAGCGGCCUCACCGGAAGCCUCACCUCUGGUUUACUCUUGCAACAGGUGCCUGAGCCAAGUGACGCACACGUAACACAGGCUGGAGAAAGGGAAGAUGGGAAGUAUGGAUUUCACAGCAUGGGUGUGUUUGCGGCAGCGGGGCCGGGUGACAUCUUUCAUCAAACUGAAAGUCUCUCUCCGCUGAUAAGAUGGAAAACUGUGUGCAGGUGGGAUUAAACUCCACGUCAUUUUUGAAUUCAGAAUAAAAUGUGUCACAGAUCAUUCUUGGUUAAUAUUUGGAGCAUUUCUUUCUUUAUUUUCCCUCAUACUGAAAACCUAAUUCCUUUCUCCUCACUUCUUCGUCCUGCCAAGGAUUAUUUCAUUUUUGAUGUAUAACCAUUUUCUGCACUGGACAUAUCCUCUUUUCUUUUCCACACACUGUAAUAUUUUUCUAAUAUUGAACUUAUGUUAAUGCUAAACCACAGGGGGAAUGACUCAACAGAGAAUGUGCCAUUGCUUUAAAACUUAAUUUUUGAGCAUCAUACUUCCUCAAUUGUGGUAUUAUUGUGCACUAAAGUAUGUUUUAUCACUGUGUUACAGGCAUUAAUAUGUAUAACUGCAUCACUAUGUGCCUGCUGGGAUGCAUUUAUUGUUCCAAACAAUAGUGAAAAAAUAUGUUUAUUUCUUAAACUAGUCCCAGGUAAAGAACCAUUCUCUGGUUUUCUCUUAAAAGAGAAAGAAAUCAAGUUAACAGUGAUUGGACAUGCUUUUAUUGGAACGCUUUAUCUAAGAACACAAAUAACUGUUCUAUAUACAGUGCAAGAAAAAGUGUAUAAUCUGCAUCCUGUUGUUUUGAAAAGUUGCUCAAAAUGCUGCUUCUGUCACGCAGCUUUUCUCCAUGUCAGAGAAAAAACAUGCUAUAAAUGAUUGCACUGUAUUUUAGUACGUCAAACUCAUAAUUACAUAUAACUGCACACAUGCACGUAUAUAACACUUCACUUCUUGUGACUCUUGGAUUGAAAGUGCUAACUGUGCUGUAUAAUAUACAUGAGAGAUUACAAUGUAGUGCUUGUAACUGCUUCACUUCACAUUUGACUGACAUGACAAAAAAUAAACACAUUCAGUCGUAUUGUCUG